UACGUAGGGAGCAAGCGUUGUCCGGAAUCAUUGGGCGUAAAGCGCGCGUAGGUGGCUUCGUAAGUCCGUUGUGAAAGUCAAAGGCUCAACCUUUGAAAGCCGAUGGAUACUGUGAAGCUAGAGUACGGAAGAGGCGAGUGGAAUUCCUGGUGUAGCGGUGGAAUGCGCAGAUAUCAGGAGGAACACCAAUAGCGAAGGCAGCUCGCUGGGACGUUUACUGACACUGAGGCGACGAAAGCGUGGGGAGCGAACAGG
rnacentral:rRNA from 1 species